GCUGGGAACUCUGAGCUUUAUUUUUAAAACUUAUGCAAAACUCCGGAACAAAGGUGAAGUAUAGACAGGAGGAAUAGUGCUUGACUUAAUUAUUUUGUCCUUCAAUAACUUAAGACUUAAGUGCAGGUACUAAGCCCCUUGACACUUUGUUGUGCAUUCUUAACGUCACUACCAAAAGUAGACUUAGUUUUCUAAUUCUGAUAACGGCGCCAAAAAUGCCAAACCUAUCCCUCAUGCCACUUAAGCCAAGUUGUCAUCCCCAGCAUGACAUAAGAGACGCGGUAUUGAAAUAUGCAAUUGCUCUUCUAAAUAAAUAACAAAUGAGAUCUGCAAGCGCACAGAUUAAUAUCGAUGUAGCAUUUUAAUCGGGAAGUAUUCCAGGUAUCGUUACUUAUAUUUUUACCACUGGGAAGGGAUUGCUAAACAUCAAUGUUGAUUAUAGAAUGGAAUAUAGAAUUGAGUAUCUAUCAUUGCAUGUAUAAUUGAGAGAACCGACAGGCCGGCCUCUCCUCUAAUCCUCCUUCGCUCUCCAUCUCGCUACUAUCUAGAUCUACUCUAGUUUAUAGAAGAGAGGAGAGCUCUCAUCUCUAAACCCUAGCUUUUGCUCUGUCUAUGAAUAAUGAAUAAUGAUCAAGGGGUGCCUCCUCCAGGGGCCAGGGGGUCUGGUUUUAUAGUCCCCUCAAGUGAACCUGGGCCGUCGGAUCAAACCGACAUUGAUUGAACGGUUAUUCUUGAUCCUUUAGGUCGGUGGAGCAUAAUCCGCGAGAUUGAGCGUGAUUGGCCACAGGAGGUGGGCGGGCGCCCAGUAGGACACGGCGGGCGCCCUGUCUCUGGCCCCGAUUCGCCUCCGCUUCGGUCUCGUGGCUUCUGGAGUCUUCUAGAUGUAAGAUAAUUGCGCGGCACGUUGAUAUCUCUAUGUAAUCCCGACGUGUGGGCCUUUCUUCCUUAUUUCCUGAUAACCCCCUGCAGAAAUAGACAAACACCAAAACUCGUGGAAUUCUGUCAGAUAAAACCCUAAGUCUAGAUGUUGAUUUCAUUUGGAUCCUUUUCUUUGUUUAUUUGAUAAUUAAAUUUGAUACUUAAGGACCGUCAACAAACUCCCCCAAGCUUACCUCUUGCUCAUCCCUGAGCAAGGAUAGACUCAGCUAUGGAUCAUAAGUUGUUGCAAUAUCUUUAAAAAUUGACGGUACACAUGCUUUUUAAAUAAGUUCUCAUCUCUGAGUUAGAGUAAACUGUCAAGAACUAAAACUUACUUACUUUACCUUUCACCAUGAGACUUGUAACCGUCACUUUUGUCUUGAGUGUUUAAAGGAUAGAACAGUCCAGUCAAGUGCCAUGUCUCUUAUUCUUGAUCAGCUAUAGCUCUGGAGUUUUUUGGAGAUUUUCAAAUAAAACUCAGAGAUUCCUUUGUAUGACUCUCUCAUAUCUCUCUUUUGUGGUAUUUCUGGAUCCUUACCAAGGCAGUGAUAUGCCUUCUCUCAAAAUAUGUGGUAUUUGUGGUAUAAGGGAUAGUGACAUUGUCUUCUCUCUCACCCUACUCUAAUAAGGCUUUAAUAUCUGGAGCUCAUAGGUGGGAGAUAAAAUAUACAUACUUACAAGACAUUUAUUGUAUAGUCAAACCAUGGAUCCAAAGAAACAAAUCAAUAAGCCAAAUCAAGAUGUGCAUGUGUGGCGAAUGAAUAGUGUAUGGUGAUGAUGGUGAUAACAAUGGUGAAAGUCUAAUUCUACUUUUGCUCUUUUGAGGGGAUACAUACCUUCCUUGCUUUUUGAAACUUUAUGAGGAGAAUGAGAUGCUCUUCUUUUUCUUUUCUCUCAGAUGGGUAUCCUGUACCCCUAAUUCUACUGUCGGACACUUGUCCAUUUUUACCUCUCGUCUCACUUUUUCUUUCUUUCGAGGUUCCGGGCACUUGCCCCCUUUUUAUUUCUUCGUUUAUUAUUUUUUUUUCUUUUUUUUUCUUCUCUUUUUUUUCAGAGCACUCAUCUCUUGAGAUAAUAUAGCAAGUGGUAGUAGCAAGAUAACUUGAGCAUUUAUUUCACAAGGGAAAAACACAGAUGUUUUUGGCUAUUCUCUCCCGAAUUAGGAGUAGAAUAUUUUUAGGUGAUUCUGGAGAUGGAAAUGGAUGGAUAUAUGUGGAUGGUACUUCCGGAGUAGAAGUAGCAUAUAUAUGAGUGAACGUGCAAGUGAAUCUUGAUUUAACCACAUGACAAGCUCCUAAGGGUCUACACAGCUUGACCACACUCAAUGCUCAUAAGCAGUAAAUAAUAAAUGUGUGGCUUAAAGUCUAGCAAGCAUGUAUAUAUGGCUGUGGUAGGAAUUUAAACUCUCAUCAUACAGGAACUCAUCAUGCAAUAUUUUAAAGAUUUUUCAAAGAUAAAAUUCUCCAGAAUUCUAGCAUCUCUAGGAAUAGAUAAACAGCAGCUCAACCUUCCCAUAUCAUAUCCGUUAACAACUUAGAUUUCAGAUCAAGUUUUCAUCCCACAAGUUUAGAUCUAGAGCAAGCUUUAAAUUAUAACAGUUAUGUCUAAACUUAAGAGAGAACUUCAAAUUUGCAAAUUAGGCAGAGCAGCUAUUCAUCAUAUCCAUGCUAGAGUUUUAUUAUUAAGAUUCAGAUUAGCAUAGCCACUUUAUUUAUUUAUUAAACACACUAAGCAAAAGAUAUAUAUAUAAGCACAAAAUCUUUAUUUGGUUUUUCAUAGUUUAUGUAUUUUAAUAUUCUAAUAUAAUAUAAGUAUAAAGUUAGGUAGAAAUACUUAGCGAGAUAAAUGGGGGUGCUCUCCCCCAAGCUGAAUUUUGACGUAAUUUAUCUUGAUGUAGCUAGCAGGUGGCAGAGGUGUAUUUAAAAGUCAGCAGUAUUCUGACAGCGAUUAGAAUGUCCUCCGUCUGCUAGUCUUCUUGAUUCUUAAAUUCUGUGGAGCUCAAAUAGACAACAAAGUUUGUGGAACUAAUUAAGUGUUAGCAUAAAUAUCUAGCCUUCAUCACGUUGAGCUUCCUCAAUAAAUAUUACUCCCUGUUUUUAUAUUUUUAUUUUAUAAAGUAGAAAAGAAAUAUUUAUUUUAUUUUUAUGCCACCACAGUGAAGGUACUUAUGGGUUUUAUGCCACUCGUAUACUCACAUGGGGCCUUAGUAUUUUUUAACAUUUUUAUUUUCUUCUCAAGAUAGCAUGAUUAACUAAUAAUCUAUUUAAGGAAAGUAAAUAAUUAAAUGGAAAAGGGAAUGCAGAAAGGAUAAAUAUGGAUAACUACCAAUCUUACCUUUCGGCGAGGGUUCAAUGUUUUAAGUCUUCUUGUCAAGACUUCUCAUCGUAUUCAUUCUUCAGGUGCGUCAUUUGAUUCAGGUGCGGACCUUGACGUCUGCACCUUUUAAUACGGUGUCACCCAUGUUCUUCGUUUGCCCAGCAGUUCGAAGUGCGGUGUUAGCAGUAUCUUGCUCAGUGUGUUUGUGCUUGUAGUGUACCUGCUCAUAGAGACAAGGCAGAGAUCAAGUGCAUGGGCCCUGUUGGUGGAAAACACCAACAGAACCAAAAGUGUAUUUGUUCUUCUCUAACCUUAAGCAUAGUGAGCAAGACAAGUUGAUGGAUGAUAAGUUCAUGAGUGUAGCACUUAUAACAUUUGUCAGAUCAGAUCGCUCAACCUUAUGGAAAGAUAAUCUAUCUAUGUAUAUGUCUUUUUCUUUAUAUCUCUUAAUGAUUGAAUGUGUAAAAUUUUAGCUCAUAUGAUUAGGAGUGUGGGAUCAUGGAGGUAGUACUAAGAACAAGGAUUAAAGGACUAAACAUGUUGAAUCAGUUGGGUUGGUUAAUCUAGAGUUGUAAAUCAUACACGUUUGUCUCUUUUAUUUAUAUGAACGCCAGAACCAAGGAGAAGCUUAUAAAAGAGAUAGUCAAGUACCUUAAGAUGUUACCUUGCUCGAAGAGUGAUGGUACAGUAUCAUCUUGUGGAAGCUUUCCUUUCUUAGCGGUUGUGCGUCGUGUUUGUGGCACCCUCCAUGGAUCAUCUCUCUAUGAUGAAUGAGCUAUGUCCUUCUUGUGCAAAUUGUUAAACUUCAUGUGUCACUCUCUUCGUCUCUGAUGUGAGUUUAUCUCAGGACUUCCCAAAUCGAUAUUGAAAGUUUUUCUGCAGGGGUUAGUCCGACAAAAUAUACCAAUAUCUACUCAAGCAGUUUUUUUUUAGUUCAAUAACCAAACUAGACUCCAUGUCUAAUCAGAUUAAGGAAGGCUAUUUAACCUAAGCACCAUGCUUAAUUUAAAUGUCAAUGGAAGUAUGGCGAGUACUUCCAAACCAACACUUGCUAGUAAAUAGACAAAGGUAGCAUGACAGCAUUUAUAGAGAUCUACUCAAGUGGAGAUGAAGUAGUGUGAUUAGUAUUUAACAAAUUGAGCAUGUCUCAAAGGUAGGGACAACCAGCAUAGCAACAUGGCAAAGGAUGUUUUUAUGUAAAGUAUUCCCCCAAGCUUGAAUUUUGCAAAAUUCAAGUUUGGAUGAAUUUAAUUCAAUGUUGUAUGAUGAUUGGUUGGACAUACCUUGUGCUUGUCAUUCAUCCGAUCUUCUUGCUCCAAUCUUAGAAAGGUUAGUGACAAGAAUACCCAAAGGAAUAUUUUUUUUUACAAUUAUCCUUAUAUGCUCAAUACACAAGGUAAUGUUGCAAAUAAUUAAAGGCUCAUGUUACGAUCUGAUCAAUGCUUAUUUUAAGACACUAAGCUUGUCCUUGGGAAACCAUCAGUUUAUGUUGGCGAAGUGGUUUCCCCUCCGACGCCAACCUAUAUCUAGAUCAACUCAACGAGAUCUGCAAUAUUUAUUAUAGGCAUAUGCAUCGACAACCGCCCUUUUAAAGUUUUUAUAAAUAGAAAGGAAGAGGGGGUUGGAGAUCUCAAGUGUGGUGAUGUCGGAGAGACCAAUAGAUUGGGAAGAUGUUGCAUAUGAGCAUGGAGUAAAUGAAGUGGCUAUGAAAUAAAUUCCAUGCUCAUUAAUGUUAUCUUCGUCUCUAAUCUGAAUGUUCGGAGUUUCUCCUUGAUUGGUCUCACCUAUGUCCUCUUCUGUAGUUGGAUGAAUCUCAUCUUCAAAGGGAGUCAAGAACUCACCAUUUGAAAUUGAGCCAAAGUCAGAACCCAUUAAGGCUUCUUCCUUAUCCAUCCAUUCUACACAUUCUAGCCAUUUAUAACUUGUGAUCAAAAUAGGGGAGGUGUUAGAAUUUUCUAUAUGGCUUAGCUCUCCUUCUAUGGCAUUACUUGACAUGCCAUCCUUAUGGUCUUCAUGACUCCUAUGGUUUGGUCGUCUUGGUGAAUUGCUAGGAUCAUCAUGAGACUGAAAAGAAGAGGGAUAAGAGGGAUCUCUAAGGUCAAGGAUGGAUUUAGAACUUGUGAACAUGGAAGGGGAGUAGAUAGAAUUGUCUAUAUGGCUUAGCUCUCCUUCACUUGAUACGUCAUCCUCGACUUCUUCAUGAUAGGAACCAGGACAUUCUCUAAGAGAAACAUUAUUGCAAGGAUUUGAAUUAUCCCUGCUUGAAGGUCUCUUAUAGAACCAGAAGUCUAAACCAUCAGCAUCUAAAAGAUUUAAGGUCGGAAUUCCUUCCUCCCUUGGAGAAUUUUGGGGUAUUGAUGGUUUAGGAUCGAUAGCUAAAGUUUGGGAUUGAAGUGGUUGUGAUCUAGCUAUCGAAACUUCUUCUUGUCUAGGAACUGGUUCUUUCUCUUUCUCAGGGAUAUAAAAGCUAGGAGACUUUCCGCUCAUUAAAUCAAUCAAAUUCCAAGCUUCACUAGCGGAUAGGUGGUGGAAAGAUCCUCCAGAGGCCGCAUGAAGGGUUUGCCUAUUUUUCCUACUAAGGCCCUCAAAAAAGUGAAUUAGAAGAACUUCUUCUGGAAUAGAAAGCUUUGGGCCAGUGAGAGUAAGGUUAAUAAAGCGGUCCCAUGAUUUGCCAAGAGAUUCUUCUUCCAGUUGUCUAAAAGAAAGAAUCUCACGCCGAAGUUCCACCACUUUGGAGAUUGGAAAAUAUUUAGAAAGAAAACUACUAUAUAACUCCUUCCAAUCUCCAUGAACACUCUCUACUUUGAGUUUAUACCAAUGUCUAGCUUUUCCCGUUAAAGAGAAUGGAAAGAGCUCCCAUUUAAGGGUCUCAUCGGACAUGCCUUCUAUGCGAAGGAGGUCACAGACUCGAUAAAACUAUCUUAGGUGUGUGUAUGGGUUUUCCUCACCUUUUCCUGAGAAAGGUUGUUUUUGAAUAAAUUCUAUGUAUUCGGGGUCUAUCUUAAAACUAGAUGCUAUGAUAGGCUUUGAAGAUUUUGGUGGUUCGAGAUGUGUGCCCAUAGGUCUAUGAAAUUCAUAGAUAGACAUGUUUGAAUUCAUAAUAGACCAGAGAUCAAGGAUUAGAUAAGAAGAAAGAAUAGCAGAGAUGAGGCAAAGGAUAAAAGGAAAAUAUUUUUUUUAUUUAUUUAUUUUUUAUAAAAUGAUUAAACUAGUUCGUAGUCAACUCAACAACUGUUUCCCCGGCAACGGCGCCAAAAAUGCUUGUUGACACUUGCUAACACCACUUCAAUACUAGGUUGUCAUCCCCAGCAUGGCACUAGAGUGUACUAUGGUAUUUAUACGCACACAGAUAAUCCGCAAGCGCACGGAUACCGUUGAAGCUUUUACCCGGUUAAAGGUUUUAUCGUAUCCACAGGGAAACAGGAGAACCAACUACGCUCUAACUUAACCAAGAUAUAUAGAUAGGUAUUAAUAGGAAAGAUAGUAGAAUUGAAUAAGAACAAUAUUAAAGGUAAGAUAACAGUGAGUGAUAAUAUGGGAAUAGAGAGUAGAGCAAUUCUAGUAUAUGGGCGAUGGUAGCAGAAUAGAGAGGAUAACUAUGGUUUUUCUACUUCAAAGGGGUAUGUCUAUGUCUGGGACGAACCACGUGAUAAGAGUACACCACAAAGGAUGCUUAUCCAUAGGACGAUAAACCCUACCCGUCCUGCUAACGAGAGGUGGACUACAGGGGACCAACGUAACUGUCACCUACGCGGCCUACCACACGAUCCAGCUAGUCAGGGGAUAUCCACAAGUAAACUAGGUCUAAGCACCACGCUUACACCUAUACUACAACUCUAACCUAUAGGGUCCUAUAGAUUAGAAGUACUCAAAAGAGUUGUGAACCAGAACAUACAUGAUUAAUAAUUGCAUAAUGAAUUAGAAGUAGAUUACCAGAGUCAUCCCAUGAGCAAGCUUGAUUAGAGCUUGAUUAUGGCGAAGUACAACCGGAGGAAGAACCGACAGGCCGGCGUCUCCUCUAAUCCUCCUUCGCUCUCCAUCUCGCUACUAUCUAGAUCUACUCUAGUUUAGAGAAGAGAGGAGAGCUCUCAUCUCUAAACCCUAGCUUUUGCUCUGUCUAUGAAUAAUGAAUAAUGAUCAAGGGGUGCCUCCUCCAGGAGCCAGGGGGUCUGGUUUUAUAGUCCCCUCAAGUGAACCUGGGCCGUCGGAUCAAACCGACAUUGAUUGAACGGUUAUUCUUGAUCCUUUAGGUUGGUGGAGCAUAAUCCGUGAGAUUGAGCGUGAUUGGCCACACGAGGUGGGCGGGCGCCCAGUAGGACACGGCGGGCGCCCUGUCUCUGGCCCCGAUUCGCCUCCGCUUCGGUCUCGUGGCUUCUGGAGUCUUCUAGAUGUAAGAUAAUUGCGCGGCACGUUGAUAUCUCUAUGUAAUCCCGACGUGUGGGCCUUUCUUCCUUAUUUCCUGAUAACCCCCUGCAGAAAUAGACAAACACCAAAACUCGUGGAAUUCUGUCAGAUAAAACCCUAAGUCUAGAUGUUGAUUUCAUUUGGAUCCUUUUCUUUGUUUAUUUGAUAAUUAAAUUUGAUACUUAAGGACCGUCAACAAUUAUCCUUGAUCCUUUAGGUCGGUGGAGCAUGAUCUCCGAAGAGGACUCUGAUUGGGCACCAAAGGGAGCCGGGUGCCCUGGUCUCUAGGGCGGGCGCCCUGGGCCAGGCUCCGUUCUACCUCCGCUUCGUUUCCGUGGCUUUUGGAGUCUUCUAGACGAUAGAAAAUUGCGCGGCACAUUAAUAUCUCUAUGUAAUCCCGACAUGUGGGCCUUUCUUCCAUUAUUCCUGAUAACCCCCUGUAGAAAUAGACAAACACCAAAACUCAUGGAAUUCUGUCAUAUAAAACCCUAAGUCUGGAUGUCGAUUGCAUUUGGAUCCUUUUCUUUCUUUAUUUGAUAAUUAAAUUUGAUACUUAAGGACCAGCAACAAACUCCCCCAAGCAUACCUCUUGCUCAUCCCUGAGCAAGGAUAAUCUCAGCGAUGGAUCAGAAGUUGUUGUAAUGCCUUUAAAAGUUGACGGUAUACAUGCUUUUAAAUAAGAUCUCAUCUCUGAGUUAGAGUAAACUGUCAAGACUUAAAACUUAUUCAUUUUACCUUUCACCAUGGGACUUGUAACCGUCACUUCUGUCUAAUCAAGUGCCAUGUCUCUUAUUCUUGAUCAGCUAUAGCUCUGAAGUUUUUGCAGAUUUUCAAAUAAAACUCAGAGAUUUCUUGUAAGACUCUAUCAGAUCUCUCUUUUGUGGUAUUUCUGGAUCCUUACCAAGGCAGUGAUGGUAUAUGCCUUCUCUCAAGUAUGUAGUAUUUGUGGUACAAGGCAUAGUGAUAUUGCCUUCUCUCUCACCCUACUCUAAUAAGGCUUUGAUAUCUGGAGCUCAUAGGUGGGAGAUAAAAUGUACAUACUUACAAGACAUUUAUUGUAUAGUCAAACCAUGGAUCCAGAGAAACAAGUCAAUAAGUCAAAUCAAGAUGUGCAUGUGUGGCGAAUGAAUGGUAUAUGGUGAUGAUGGUGAUAACAAUGUUGAAAGCCUAAUUCUACUUGUUGCUCUUUUGAGGGGAUACAUACCUUGCUCUUUUGAAACAUGGGGAGAAUGAGAUGCUCUGUAUUUUUUCUAUCAGGUGGGUAUUUUGUACCCCUAAUUCUAUUGUCGGACACUUGUCCAUUUUUACCUCUCGUCUCACUUUUUCUUUUCUUUCGAGGUUUCGGACACUUGCCCCUUUUUAUUUCCUCGUAUCUUCUUUUUUUAGAGUACUCAUCUCCUGAAAUAAUAUUGCAAGUGGUACUAACCAAGAUAACUUGAGCAUUUAUUUCACAGAGGAAAAUAGAAAUAUUUUUGGCUAUUCUCUUCCGGAUUAGGAGUAGAAUAUUUUUGGGUGGUUCUGGAGAUGGAAUGGGUGGAUAUAUGUGGAUGCGUACUUCCAGGGUAGAAGCAGCAUGUGUGAAUGAACGUGCAAGUAAAUCUUGAUUUAAGCACAUGACAAGCUCCUAAGGGUCUACACAGCUUGACCACACUCAAUGCUCAUAAGUAGUAAAAAGUAAUUGUAUGGCUCAAAGUCUAGCAAGCAUGUAUAUAUGGCUGUGGUAGGAAUUUAAACUCUCAUCAUAUAGGAACUCAUCAUGCAAUAUUUUAAAGAUUUUUCAAAGAUAAAAUUCUCCAGAAUUCUAGCAUCUCUAGGAAUAGAUAAACAGUAGCUCAACCUUCCCAUAUCAUACCCGUUAACAACUU
rnacentral:lncRNA from 1 species